rnacentral:rRNA from 3 species
UACGGGGGGUGCAAGCGUUGUUCGGAUUUAUUGGGCGUAAAGCGCGUGUAGGCGGUUUGUUAAGUCUGAUGUGAAAGCCCUGGGCUCAACCCAGGAAGUGCAUUGGAUACUGGCAGACUUGAAUACGGGAGAGGGUAGUGGAAUUCCUGGUGUAGGAGUGAAAUCCGUAGAUAUCAGGAGGAACACCGGUGGCGAAGGCGGCUGCCUGGACCGAUAUUGACGCUGAGACGCGAAAGCGUGGGUAGCAAACAGG